AUGGUUCAGAUGGUGAUUCCCGCGUGGUGGGGAAAAGAUUCCGACGGCGGACGAAGCUCAGGGGAGGUUCCGGCGACAGUUCAGGUGAAUGGUUCUUGGAUUUUCGUUUUUUUUCUGAGUUGUGAUUUUGUCGGAGCAACCAAAAUGAUGGAGGACAAAGGAAAUCGUGGUCGAGAAGGCUUGGCAUGGAAAACCACUUUGGGAACACAAGGGAACUUGAAGAUGGGGAAGUUUUGA